GAAAUGCGAUAAGUAGUAUGAAUUAUAGAAUUUAGUAAAUUAUUAAAUCUUUGAACGCAUAUUGCGCCCCUUAGUAUUUUGUGGGGUAUGCCUAUUUGAGUGUUAUUUACACCCUUAAGCUCUGUUUGGUGUUAGGCGUCUAUUCUACCUUCGCGCGUAGAUUUGCCCUAAAUGUAUUGGUAGUGGUUUUUGUUCCCUCCUACGUAGUAUAUUGUGCUUUUUGAGGCUGUGGUGGCCUAUGUUUAAUAAGCUGAACCCCCCCAUCUUUAACUUUGGAUUAGGUAGGGAUACUCGCUGAACUUAAGU
rnacentral:misc_RNA from 1 species